rnacentral:piRNA from 1 species
UAAGAAGUUCCCAGAAGUCUGUACCACAGU